rnacentral:rRNA from 1 species
GACGAACGCUGGCGGCGUGCUUAACACAUGCAAGUCGAACGGAAAGGCCCUGCUUUUGUGGGGUGCUCGAGUGGCGAACGGGUGAGUAACACGUGAGUAACCUGCCCUUGACUUUGGGAUAACUUCAGGAAACUGGGGCUAAUACCGGAUAGGAGCUCCUGCUGCAUGGUGGGGGUUGGAAAGUUUCGGCGGUUGGGGAUGGACUCGCGGCUUAUCAGCUUGUUGGUGGGGUAGUGGCUUACCAAGGCUUUGACGGGUAGCCGGCCUGAGAGGGUGACCGGCCACAUUGGUACUGAGAUACGGCCCAGACUCCUACGGGAGGCAGCAGUGGGGAAUAUUGCACAAUGGUCGGAAGCCUGAUGCAGCAACGCCGCGUGCGGAAUGACGGCCUUCGGGUUGUAAACCGCUUUCGCCUGUGACGAAGCGUGAGUGACGGUAAUGGGUAAAGAAGCACCGGCUAACUACGUG